GAUGAACGCUGGCGGCGCGCCUAACACAUGCAAGUCGAACGGCACCCCUCCUCGGAGGGAAGCGAGUGGCGAACGGCUGAGUAACACGUGGAGAACCUGCCCCCUCCCCCGGGAUAGCCGCCCGAAAGGACGGGUAAUACCGGAUACCCCGGGGUGCCGCAUGGCACCCCGGCUAAAGCCCCGACGGGAGGGGAUGGCUCCGCGGCCCAUCAGGUAGACGGCGGGGUGACGGCCCACCGUGCCGACAACGGGUAGCCGGGUUGAGAGACCGACCGGCCAGAUGGGGACUGAGACACGGCCCAGACUCCUACGGGAGGCAGCAGUGGGGAAUCUUGCGCAAUGGGGGGAACCCUGACGCAGCGACGACGCGUGCGGGACGGAGGCCUUCGGGUCGUAAACCGCUUUCAGCAGGGAAGAGUCAAGACUGUACCUGCAGAAGAAGCCCCGGCUAACUACGUG
rnacentral:rRNA from 1 species